rnacentral:misc_RNA from 1 species
GAAAUGCGAUAAGUAAUGCGAAUUGCAGAAUUUCCGUGAGUCAUCGAAUCUUUGAACGCACAUUGCGCCCUUUGGUAUUCCGAAGGGCAUGCCUGUUCGAGCGUCAUUAUCACCCCUCAAGCUUCAGCUUGGUGUUGGACGGUCGGUGGUGGGUUCUUCCACGACCCCUCCCAAAGUUAAUGACGGCGGCCUGUUCACCCCCGGUACACUGAGCUUCUUUACUGAGCACGUAUCGGUUUCAAGGGUGCCAGGACACCGGUCCUCUCUCCCGCCAGGGAGAAAAACCUCAAGGUUUGACCUCGGAUCAGGUAGGGAUACCCGCUGAACUUAA